AUAUUGGACAAUGGGGGCAACCCUGAUCCAGCCAUGCCGCGUGUGUGAAGAAGGUCUUCGUAUUGUAAAGCACUUUAAGUUGGGAGGAAGGGCUUUGGGCUAAUACCCUGAAGUUUUGACGUUACCAACUGAACAAGCCCCGCCUAACUCUGUGCCAUCAGCCGCGGUAAUACAGAGGGUGCAAGCGUUAAUCGCAAUUACUGGGCGUAAAGCGCGCGUAGGUGGUUCAGUAAGAUGGGUGUGAAAUCCCCGGGGUUAACCUGGGAACUGCUUUCAUAACUGCUGAGCUAGAGUACGGUAGAGGGUAGUGGAAUUUCCUGUGUAGCGGUGAAAUGCGUAGAUAUAGGAAGGAACACCAGUGGCGAAGGCGACUACCUGGACUGAUACUGACACUGAGGUGCGAAAGCGUGGGGAGCAAACA
rnacentral:rRNA from 1 species